UGCAAGUCGAGGGGUAUAUGUCUUCGGAUGUAGAGACCGGCGCACGGGUGCGUAACGCGUAUGCAAUCUGCCUUUCACAGAGGGAUAGCCCAGAGAAAUUUGGAUUAAUACCUCAUAGCAUUAUAGGAUGGCAUCAUUUUAUAAUUAAAGUCACAACGGUGAAAGAUGAGCAUGCGUCCCAUUAGCUAGUUGGUAAGGUAACGGCUUACCAAGGCUACGAUGGGUAGGGGUCCUGAGAGGGAGAUCCCCCACACUGGUACUGAGACACGGACCAGACUCCUACGGGAGGCAGCAGUGAGGAAUAUUGGUCAAUGGGCGCAAGCCUGAACCAGCCAUGCCGCGUGCAGGAUGACGGUCCUAUGGAUUGUAAACUGCUUUUGCACAGGAAGAAACACUUGCUCGUGAGCAAGCUUGACGGUACUGUGAGAAUAAGGAUCGGCUAACUCCGUGCCAGCAGCCGCGGUAAUACGGAGGAUCCAAGCGUUAUCCGGAAUCAUUGGGUUUAAAGGGUCCGUAGGCGGUCUUGUAAGUCAGUGGUGAAAGCCCAUCGCUCAACGGUGGAACGGCCAUUGAUACUGCAGGACUUGAAUUAUUGGGAAGUAACUAGAAUAUGUAGUGUAGCGGUGAAAUGCUUAGAGAUUACAUGGAAUACCAAUUGCGAAGGCAGGUUACUACCAAUUGAUUGACGCUGAUGGACGAAAGCGUGGGUAGCGAACAGGAUUAGAUACCCUGGUAGUCCACGCCGUAAACGAUGGAUACUAGCUGUUGGGCGCAAGUUCAGUGGCUAAGCGAAAGUGAUAAGUAUCCCACCUGGGGGAGUACGUUCGCAGAUG
rnacentral:rRNA from 1 species